ensembl:lncRNA
GUAUUUUUAUGUUUUUUAAUCUAAUUUUACUGCUUGCAUGAGUUACUUGAUUUGGAAUAGAGUUCCACGUAGUCAUGGCUCUAUAUAGUACUCUACGCCUCCCAUAGUCUGUUCUGGGGACUGUGAAGAGACAUCUGCUGGCAUGUCUUGCAGGGUAUGCAUGGGUGUCCGAGCUGUGUGCCAGUAGUUCAGCUUGUUACAUUCAACAAUGUCAAAACAUCUCAAAUACGAGUUGUGAUGAAGUCAAUCUCUCCUCCACGAUAAAACGUAUCGGUACUCAUCGGCCAAUGGACAUAAACAUUACAGAAGAAAUUGGAAAUCGCAAUUUCAACAAUGAGUGGUUUGGAAGGAAUCAGUGGCUAACUGCAGGCAUUGCAAAGCAAUCACUAGCCUGAUAUUCAGUGGAGUGGGUGUGUGGUCCAAGUCUGGGUUUAAGGGUAUAUUUUCAAAGCUUAAAAGGAUAAACAUUCAACUGGCAAUGCUGUCAAUCCAGCAUGACUUCUGCCGCACUCAAAACAACUGGAAACUCGGAACUGGGAAAUCUCAGACUUCAGUGAGUUUAAGACAACUAAACUCAGCAAAAAAAGAAAUGUCCUCUCACUGUCAACUGCGUUUAUUUUCAGCUUAACAUGUGUAAAUAUUUGUAUGAACAUAAGAUUAAACACCUGAGACAUAAACUGAACAAGUUCCACAGACAUGUGACUAACAGAAAUGGAAUAAUGUGUCCCUGAACAAAGGUGGGGGUGGGGGUCAAAAUCAAAAGUAACAGUCAGUAUCUUCUCCUUUAGAUGACACAAGACGAUUAUCUUUCAACUAUAACAACAAUCACAGAUUUGUCACCGUCUUAAUGGCUCUUCUUGGAUAGCUCCCCUCUCUUGGUAGCCAUUCUACAGAGAUAGUUUAUCUCCCCCCCAUUCCUACUGGUUCCCUCCUCUCUCUUAUAGGGGAAAGAGAAUAUGUCAUUAGUACCGUCAGCUGUGCUUAAUUGCCUCAGGUUACCUGGUCUCACAUGCCUUGUUGGGCUACUAUCUGUGAGCCCAGCCUGCCCUCUGGUGGUCCUUCCACAUUAGAUACAAAGUAUCUCAAAUGAGAAAAACAUGUCUAGCCUGUGGUUUCUUCCUCUACUAUCUCGGCCUUGAGGCUGCAUUACUAUCAGCAGGUGCAGGCAAUUCUCAGCCUGAGAUCUAAAGCAGUACAUCUCCAUUUACCCAGUACUCUUCCAUCAUUGUGCAUUGCAAGUAUACAAAGGUUAUCACAUAUAUACAGUGACCAUGGCAUUGUUGUAGCCCCACACCUGACCUCCAGGGAAACCCCCAACAGGUGCAUGUUCAUUAAAUGUUUAUGGUUCUGUCACACCCUGAUCUGUUUCAUCUGUCUUGUGAUUGUCUCUAUCCCCUCCCGGUGUUGCUUAUUUUCCCUGGUGUAUUUAUCCCUGUGUUUCCUGUCUCUCUGUGCCAGUUUGUCUUGUAUGUUUUUCAAGUCAACCAGCGUUUAUCCCGUACUCCUGCUUCUAUUCUCUUUCGCUAGUCCUCCCGGUUUUUGACCCUUGCCUGUUUUUCUGGACUCUGUGCCCGCCUGCCUGACCUGACCUCGAGCCUGCCUGCCACUCUGUACCUCCUGGACUCUGAACUGGUUUUGACCUUUUGCCUGUCCAUGACCAUUCUCUUGCCUACCCCUUUUGGAUUGUUUAAUAGAUAUCAAGACUCAAACCAUCUGCCUCCCGUGUCUGCAUCUGGGUCACGCCUUGUGCCCUCAUAGAGUAAUUGAACAAUUCCCAGUUGUCUUGAAGACACCAUAAAUCCAGAGAAUGACAGACUUUGAUAAAGUCUGAUGACAAAUUUGCCCACGAAAGACCACAGCGCCACCUUCUUGUUCAAGUGAGCACAACAAGGAUAAAGUUUGAAAACCAGCUCCAGCAGCAGAUAGAAGAGAAUAAGCACAUUCAUGAGUGAGUUUGUUUGCUUAUACCUGUUUGAAAUAUAUAAAUCCAAUAGAACUGAAUAGCUGUUAAAGUAAAUGGCAAUGACUCUACCUAGCCUGCCAAUAGACUUAGAGAGCAUCCACCAUAUUGCUUUUAUCUAUCCAGUCUCUCCAGAUCUGUGAAUAUUAAAUGUUGUCUCUUCGCUCCAGAGCCCAAACAGACUGUCUGCUGAAAUAGAGAGGAUAGAAAACACCAAGUCUCAGCUGUUGAAAGCUGGUUUGAACCUCUACACAUGAUGACUGUAGUGUACUGUAGACUUUAACAUGGGGCUAGUGCACCAUCGGGUGUGCAACUAUGAUGUAUCUGUGCUUGAUAUGAGUGUGUGCAUGCGUGUGUUCAUAGAACAACUGAAGUUGUCUCAGCUCUGCUAUCUAGAGGAGGUGCUGGAUGAGGCCAAGAGACAGAGACAACAGACACACACAAAGACUAAACCCUGGAACUACACACUGAUAGUGGCCACAGUGUAAAUCAAAGUUACAGAUGCUCCCAUGCUCAGCAAACUGGUGAACGUUUUGGGAUUGUUCUUAUUUUAAAUGUAUUUAAAUUAAAUUAUUUAACUAGGCAAUUGUUCUUCUGCCCUUGAUAUUGUGUAUUGUAUUCCUCUGUUUGGAAUUGUGGUUCUGGAUGAAUUGUACAUAUUAUUUGAUUUUCUUAUUCAGGCUUUAUUUAAUGGAAGCGGAUAUUCGACUGGCAGAAGACAAAUGCAAGAUUUGGAAUAGGUGUCAAAAUGAAUGAAGGUUAGGUGUAGUUUCAGUGAGGUUAGGUGUAGUUUCAGUGAGGUUAGGUGUAGUUUUAGUGAGGUUAGGGAAAGGCAUAAUAGACAUUAAAAUGGAGUUAGCAUAGGCUUCUGCUGGUCAAAUAUACAGUAUACUGUAUAUACACGGCCAAUGGCUGUGAUGAGAACAACUACGUCCCUUAUAAAGAGCUCAAGGAUCUUUCCUGGUUAAAGGUUAAAUAAAUACCACUGUGUAUGUGUGUCCUCUGGCUUGUGAGCAACCUUUACAUGCAUUACACUGUAACAAUCUGUAAUUAUGUUAAUUAUAGCAUCAGCACCAUUCCACCUGACAAGUUGUAUGUACUAAUGCUGUAGAACCUGUUGACGGGUGGGAGGGAGCUGAGAGACACACACACACAGAGCUGAGGCCAUGGCUGCAUGCUCCUCUCUGAGGUCUGUUGAACCUGAGAACUUGUCAGUCUCCUUCGCAAGGUUCAGUUUUCAUCCCUCUAGUAUUAUGUCACAUAUUGGUGGAGUCAAACCUACAGUAACUGAUUUUUCUGGUUCCUUCAUUCUGGUGUGUGUGUCACAAUAUAUUAUCAUGAAGGUACACACCACAACUCUACAGGGAAGGUAAUCUAAGGCCAACUCAGAGGUACCUAACACAGUGUGUCAUGUGUUAGUUGUUUAACUAACACAUAUGUAAUUUAUGAUUACAGGUACUCAAACAACCACAGACAUACAGGGAAAACCACACACACUGCUGACAUGGCAUGUUACUGCGUACCUUUACUCACCACAGAGGGAUGACCUUCCAGCAUUUCAGCUCCACUAUGUGUGUGUGUUGGUGUGACUUCAGUGCAUUUUGGCUGCAGUGAGUCACCUGAAAUGCAGGUGUGACAUUAUUUGAGGGUAGGUAGCAACACAUCUGCCACACUGAUCCUCAACACUGGAGCCCCCCAGGGGUGCGUGCUCAGUCCCCUCCGGUACUCCCUGUUCACCCACAACUGCAUGGCCAGGCACGACUCCAACACCAUCAUUAAGUUUGCAGACGACACAACAGUGGUAGGCCUGAUCACCGACAACGACGAGACGGAGGUCAGAGACCUGUCCGGGUGGUGCCAGAAUAACAACCUCUCCCUCAAUGUAACCAAGACUAAGGAGAUGAUUGUGGACUACAGGAAAAGGAGGACCGAGCACAACCCCAAUCUCAUCGACGGGGCUGUAGUAGAGCAGGUUGAGGGCUUCAAGUUCCUUGGUGUCCACAUCACCAACAAACUAGAAGGGUCCAAAGACACCAAGACAGUCGAAUAGGGCAUGACAAAGCCUAUUCCCCCUCAGGAAACUAAAAGGAUUUGGCAUGGGUCCUAUGAUCUUCAAAAGGUUCUACAGCUGCAACAUCGAGAACUGGUUGCAUCACUGCCUGGUACAACAAUUGCUCAGCCUCCGACCACAAGGCAUUACAGAGGGUAGUGCGUACGGCCCAGUAUAUCACUGGGGCUAAGCUGCCUGCUAUCCAGGACCUCUACACCAGGCGAUGUCAGAGGAAGGCCCAAAAAAUUGUCAAAGACCCCAGCCACCCAGUCAUAGACUGUUCUCUCUACUACUGCAUGGCAAGCGGUACCGGAGUGCUAAGUCAAGGACAAAAAGGCUUCUCAACAGUUUUUACCCCCAAGCCAUGAGACUCCUGAACAGGUAAUCAAAUGGCUACCCAGACUAUUUGCAUUGUGUGCCCCCCCCCAACCCCUCUUUUAUGCUGCUGCUACUCUGUUUAUUAUAUAUGCAUAGUCACUUUAACUAUACAUUCAUG